CUGAGCCAAAUCUUGAUUCACCUAGUACUACAGAAAUUUCCCAUGCCCCCGCCAUCUCUCCCUACCCUCAUCCUCCUCUCUUUUCCCUUCCUCCCCUCUUCUCUCCCUUCGUCGAACCCUUUGAAACCCCAUCUCCAAUCCGAGAAAACCCUAAUUCUCCGAUCGAUCUUCUCUCCGAUCUCGAUCCAAUUGAUUUCUCAGGGUUUCGAUUGCUUCUUGCUAUCGGGGAACAAGAUUGGUUGAUUUCCAGGGGUUUCGAUCUUUUUGGAAUUGAGCCCAUGCUAUUGGAUCGGGAGGAGGAGAGGGAGAGGAGAUGUAUAGCAGUAUCAAAGAGCAGGCGAUCGAGUACGCGACGCAGGCGAUCCACGAGGACGUUGCCGGGAACUCACGUCAAGUAUGAGAAAAACCCCAAGAUCGAGAAGGCUACGGGCGGCCCUGGACCGACCGCCAAUAGGGACGCCGCCGUAGCCACCAGGCCGAUGACCAAGCCCAAGGACGGGUACAGCGGUUGGGAUGGACAGGAUACCGAGGCGGGGCUCACCCCAACGUAAAGUGGAGCGAUGUCACAGUGCUUGAGAAUGCCAAGCAGGCCUUGCAAGAGGCCGUCAUCUUGCCCGAAAAAUUUCCUCGGUUCUUUCCUGGUGUAUAUGAUUCUAUCCAAAAUGGGAUGCCAGUUUUCCAACGUGACACCAACACUCAGAGCAUAGGAACUGGAAAAGCUACUAAACUCAUCAUAGCAGCCGGACAUGUGCAAUGCAUGUUGGAGGGAAACGAGAAGAGAGUAUAAGUGAUAGAGUACAACAUUUUUAGGAGUCAAAUCAAGGAAUCCAUUCUAUUGUGGUUGAACUGGAGAAAGAUAUUGAGUCCAACAUGUUUGAGAGUUUCAUGAAAGGGUCCAAACUGAUUUGAAAAGAAGGAAAGAGAGCACAUCUAGUGAGUCAGUAAAAAUAUUUUUUUAGGAUAAAUGAGGAAGGGUAUUCUUGGUAUAAAAGUGUGAGAAUCAAUGAGGAAUAUUCCUUGAUUCAAAACUAUCAUUUUAUGCAGAGCAUAGAUAUAGUCUCUCAAAGAUGAAUGUGGUUUUUUACUACAAUUCUUGCCUUUUUCUUUUUUGAGAGAACGGAGGAAAUAAGGUGCUUCCACUCCAGUUUAGAAUUACGUGAUAUAAUAGAAUAAUACAAAAGAGGGAGCACUCGUAUGGACGCACUCCCACCAGUUUUCAAAGGAAAGCUAUUGGCUCAUGACGAGAUACCGGCCUCCAGUUUGCAUAAUCCUUGUUUAAAGACCCCAACAAGUAUGCCUGUCAAUACAUGAACCUAGGAACAGUGUUUUGCUUGUUGCUGUUUCGUUUGUAAUAUUUUCAGCAAUGCCCAAGACCGCACGUGUUGAAACCUUCUUGCACGCCCGGCAAAUCCACUUAUCCCUUUACUUCCUGUUGAUGAACUUAGAAGAGUAGCUUAUGCAGAGGUUCAGCCAUUUCCAGAGACUGUUUCUUCCUUCCAGAUGGAGACGAGGUGUACUCAGACAUCUUCUCUGAAGAUGCUGCCUGAUGACUGAAACUGCACGGUCUUGAGACGGUGCAGUCCAAUCACAGAAUAACAAGGUGAUCCGAUCGCGGACAACUAGAUGGGAGCAUGCUUCAAAAUCAAAGACUCCUUUGUUCCUUUCCAUCCAGAUACACCAAAAAUUAAUCGCUCAGACGGCAUCCCAAGCUUUCAACACUUUCUGGUUACACAUACUUGAUCUGCAUAUGUGCCAUAGCUCAUAAAUACUGCCAGUCAACUGUUGAAAGUUGACACCAUGCAGGAUCGAAGAUCAAAUCUGCCUAGAAUAAUUGUAGUCCAACAUUAAGUGAUCUAUAGUUUCUGAAUGAUUAGUGCAGAGAGGGUGGACCUUGAAUGCCUCUCUUUUGUAAAUUAUCAACAGUGAGCAUCCUGUUAUAAUAACAAAGUCAAUUGAAAAUUUUAACUUUCUCAAAUAA